UUGAGCAGCGACGCCCGUCCGUGCACGCCCCAUCAGUCGUCGGCCCGAGUGCGACUUGCCUCGGCUGCAAACGGAUUUCCUGUGUUGCGUACCUACUGAAAUGGAAUUCGGCUGUCCCAAUGUUUUUACGUCCGCCUCGCGCUGUCCCUUCGGGGUACGGCGUCGGGUGGACCUCGAAGCGGCGCCUGCGUUCCGGGUCGCUCACGUUAAGUGCUGCUGUCCCGGCCCGCGGACCGUCGCUCGGGCUCUCGGAUGCGGAAUACUCGGAGGGUAGGGUUGUCUUGUCGACCCUUGUUUGCCCAAAAUAAAUUUCGUUACCGAACGACUACCGUCAUUCCGUCGAGGCGUUGGAUCUAACGAAUCCAUCGUCCUCUCGGGACGCCGGCGUCUGUGAGGAAUGCUA
rnacentral:misc_RNA from 1 species